rnacentral:rRNA from 1 species
AGUGAACGCUGGCGGCAGGCCUAACACAUGCCAGUCGAACGGACGCAGCGAGCUUGCUCGUGGAUUCAGCGGCGGACGGGGGAGUAAUGCCUAGGAAUCUGCCUGGUAGCGGGGGAUAACGUCCGGAAACCGGCGCUGAUACCGCAGACGUACUGAGAGCGACAGUGGGGGAUCCUCGGACCUCUCGCUAUCAGGUUAGCCUAGGUCGGAUUAGCUAGUUGGGGGGGUAACGGCUUACCAAGGCGACGAUCCGUAACUGGUCUGAGAGGAUGACCAGUCACAUGGUCUGUGAGAAACGGCCGAGACUCUGACGGGAGGAAGCAGUGGGGAAUAUUGGGCGAUGGGGGAGUGGCGGAUCCAGCGAUGCGGCGGGUGUGAAGAAGGUGCUCGGAUUGGAAAGUGCUGUAAGUUGUGAGGAAGGGAAGUAAUUUAAUACCUGACUGUUUUGACGUUACCAACAGAAGAAGCACCGGCUAACUUCGUG